rnacentral:misc_RNA from 1 species
CCGAGUUAGGGUCCCCUCUGGGGGCCCGACCUCCCAACCCUGUGUCUAUGUUACCUCAAGUUGCUUCGGCGGGCCGGACUCGACCAACUGGUCGUGACCGCCGGCCCCAUUUGGGGGCUGGAGAGCUGCCCGCCGACGGCCCAAACAUAAACUCUUGUACUAAACCAUGUCGUCUAAAACAUUGUGAUUGUAUAAUCAAAAACA